GUAAGAGCCUCCGCCGGGGCCGUGCUUUCUUUUCCCCGCGGCCGCCGUCGGAGGCGGGCUUCUCAGGCUCCUUGGGCCAUGCGGCCCGGGCGGCGGCGCCUGCCGGCCCCUUCCCAGGCUCGUCCAGGUGCACCAGAGCCUAUGAAUUUUGAAGAUGAAUGAAGGUCAUGAUAAAUGUUUUCCAAAAACUUGAGAUAGAGGAUGGCUUUGAAAAAACCACUAGGAGCACAACAACAUGUAUAAGUUUAUAGGUAGCUGCAGAUGAAUGUCAAAGUCCUUAGCUGUGCUGUUGAAAAAUCCUUCAUUGCCUCAAGUAAUUAUGAUUUAUGAAGCAACUACAUCUACUUAUAAUUCACAGGUUACCACAUUUUGGAAGGAAAAAAUGAAGAAUUGGUCAAGACGACAUGAAAUGAUGAAAAUUAGUAUUUUAUUUAACAUUGAUCACCUCACAGUAAAUUAUAUAGGAAAAUAAAUGUUUGACUACUUUUGAUUGCUGGGCAAUAAAGUCUUUAUAUCAACUCUUGAAA